AUGCUUGCUUCGGCAGCACAUAUACUAAAAUUGGAACAAUACAGAGAACAUUAGCAUGACCCCUGCGAAAGGAUGAUAUGCAAUUUCGUGAAGCAUUCCAUAUUUUG